UACGGGGGGGGUAAGCGUUGUUCGGAAUUACUGGGCGUAAAGGGCUCGUAGGCGGCCAACUAAGUCAGACGUGAAAUCCCUCAGCUUAACUGGGGAACUGCGUCUGAUACUGGAUGGCUUGGAUUUGGGAGAGGGAUGCGGAAUUCCAGGUGUAGCGGUGAAAUGCGUAGAUAUCGUUUGGAACGCCAAUGGUGAAAACAGGUAACUGGGAGUGUGCCGACGCUGAGACACGAAAGCCAGGGGAGCGAACGGG
rnacentral:rRNA from 1 species